GACCUCGGAUCAGGUAGGGAUACCCGCUGAACUUAAGCAUAUCAAAAGGCGGAGGAA
rnacentral:rRNA from 1 species